UACCUACGGGAGGCAGCAGUGGGGACUAUUGCAGUUUGUGGGGAACCCUGCUGCAGCGACGCCGCGUGAGUGAGGAAGUAUUUCGGUAUGUAAAGCUCUAUCAGCAGGGAAGAAAAAAUGACGGUACCUGACUAAGAAGCACCGGCUAAAUACGUGCCAGCAGCCGCGGUAAUACGUAUGGUGCAAGCGUUAUCCGGAUUUACUGGGUGUAAAGGGAGCGCAGGCGGUACGGCAAGUCUGAUGUGAAAGCCCGGGGCUCAACCCCGGUACUGCAUUGGAAACUACCGGACUGGAGUGUCGGAGGG
rnacentral:rRNA from 1 species